AUACGAAGAUCAUGACGCCAUUUGAAUUCAGGUGGACAAAGUGGUCAAAAUAGUCAACUAAACCUUCCCUCGAGAAAGUUAUAUAGCCAAUGAGUGCACUUUAUUUUGUAUGAGCUUCCCUCUCCUUUAACAAUUUUUACUUGUACCUCUUGCUUUCUUCAUCAUUGCACUUUUCCAGAUGUCCUCCACCACCACCACUACGAGUCCACCAUACCAAAUAACAGAAUCCUUAGGACCCUUCUUCCCCUAAACACGAGUAAAACAAACUCAGAAAGAGAGCAUUGGAGAUCUGGAGGCCUUCUUUGAUGCUACUGCACCAACACAAGUUGUUUUUCCAUCCUUGGUCGGGAAGAAAGGUAUCUCUGGCACAUGGAAGAAAUGGAGAGAGCUGAAGAAGCUGCAAUGAUGCAAGUCACGUAGGGGCUGGGUAUGGCAAUAGAGUUGAUCCUGUACUGUAUUCAGAACUAGCUGGAGACUCCUCAUAUAAACCAGGUUGCCUACAGCAUUUUAACCAUAAAUUAGACACUGUAUGAUGAGUAAUCAUGCUUAAUCCCAAAUAUUAAAACCCCUGCUUCUAUUA